CCUACGGGAGGCAGCAGUGAGGAAUAUUGGUCAAUGGACGAGAGUCUGAACCAGCCAAGUCGCGUGAAGGAUGAAUGCACUAUGGGUUGUAAACUUCUUUUAUAUGGGAAUAAAACGUUCCACGUGUGGGAUGUUGUAUGUACCAUAUGAAUAAGGAUCGGCUAACUCCGUGCCAGCAGCCGCGGUAAUACGGAGGAUCCGGGCGUUAUCCGGAUUUAUUGGGUUUAAAGGGAGCGUAGGGGGAUUGUUAAGUCAGUUGUGAAAGUUUGCGGCUCAACCGUAAAAGUGCAGUUGAAACUGGCAGUCUUGAGUACAGUAGAGGUGGGCGGAAUUCGUGGUGUAGCGGUGAAAUGCUUAGAUAGCACGAAGAACUCCGAUUGCGAAGGCAGUUCACUGGACUGCAACUGACACUGAGGCUCGAAAGUGUGGGUAUCAAACAGGAUUAGAUACCCCUGUAGUC
rnacentral:rRNA from 1 species